CCUGACUGAGCUCUGCUUUCUC
rnacentral:miRNA from 1 species